rnacentral:rRNA from 1 species
GACGAACGCUGGCGGCGUGCUUAACACAUGCAAGUCGAACGGAAAGGCCCUGCUUUUGUGGGGUGCUCGAGUGGCGAACGGGUGAGUAACAUGUGAGUAACCUGCCCUUGACUUUGGGAUCACUUCAGGAAACUGGGGCUAAUACCGGAUCGGAGCUCCUGCUGCAUGGUGGGGGCUGGACAGUUUAGGCGGUUGGGGAUGGACUCGCGGCUUAUCAGCUUGUUGGUGGGGUAGUGGCUUACCCAGGCUUUGACGGGUAGCCGGCCUGAGAGGGUGACCGGCCACAUUGGGACUGAGAUACGGCCCAGACUCCUACGGGAGGCAGCAGUGGGGAAUAUUGCACAAUGGGCGGAAGCCGGAGGCAGCAACGCCGCGUGCGGGAUGACGGCCUUCGGGUUGUAAACCGCUUUCGCCUGUGACGAAGCGUGAGUGACGGUAAUGGGUAAAGAAGCACCGGCUAACUACGUG